GCAAGUCGAGGGGUAGAGUUAGCUUGCUAACUUGAGACCGGCGCACGGGUGCGUAACGCGUAUGCAAUCUACCUUGUUCAAAGGGAUAGCCCAGAGAAAUUUGGAUUAAUACCUUAUAGUAUUAUAAAGUGGCAUCAUUUAAUAAUUAAAGAUUUAUCGGAACAAGAUGAGCAUGCGUCCCAUUAGCUAGUUGGUAUGGUAACGGCAUACCAAGGCAAUGAUGGGUAGGGGUCCUGAGAGGGAGAUC
rnacentral:rRNA from 1 species